AUCCUACGGGGGGCAGCAGUGAGGAAUAUUGGUCAAUGGGCUUACGCCUGAACCAGCCAAGUCGCGUGAGGGAAGACUGCCCUAUGGGUUGUAAACCUCUUUUGUCAGGGAGCAACGCCGGCUACGUGUAGCCGGACUGAGAGUACCUGAAGAAAAAGCAUCGGCUAACUCCGUGCCAGCAGCCGCGGUAAUACGGAGGAUGCGAGCGUUAUCCGGAAUUACUGGGUGUAAAGGGAGCGUAGACGGUUAAGUAAGUCUGGAGUGAAAGGCCGGGGCCCAACCCCGGGACUGCUCUGGAAACUAUU
rnacentral:rRNA from 1 species